rnacentral:rRNA from 1 species
CAGUCGCCGCGGUAAAACGGAGGGUGCAAGCGUUAAUCGGAAUUACUGGGCGUAAAGCGCACGCAGGCGGUCUGACAAGUCAGAUGUGAAAUCCCCGGGAUUAACCUGGGAACUGCAUUUGAAACUGUCAGGCUGGAGUCUUGUAGAGGGGGGUGGAAUUCCAGGUGUAGCGGUGAAAUGCGUAGAGAUCUGGAGGAAUACCGGUGGCGAAGGCGGCCCCCUGGACAAAGACUGACGCUCAGGUGCGAAAGCGUGGGGAGCAAACAGGAUUAGAUACCCCUGUAGUCCCUGUCUCUUAUAC